AGGACAGAGAAAGGGACGGGAGGGAGGACGUGUAGGAAGGGUCAGCACACAAACAUGACACAGACGCAUAACAAACACAGGAACAAAAAUACCUAACUUGUGUGAAGCAAUAUGAAAGCUAUUAGUAGGUAAAUAAAGUUGUCAUUGGAAAAGAAUGUAGUGAUAAAUGACUAAUAAGCAGCAAUAACAUACGUAGUCAUCAAUUAGCGGUUUUUCAUAUGUGUUUUCUGUGUUGCAUGUUGCCUCUCUCGUCCAUCUUGAUUACUCAGCUCGCUCUCGUGAAAAUGAUAAUAUAAUGCUUACGACAGCAAUUAACUAGUAACAAACUGGCAACGAAUAUAUUUUCCCAUCCGCAGUUAUUUUGAAACUAACUCCACUCCCCACCACCAGAGGGCCCAUGGUAGCUGUCAUCAAUUCCCAGGUCGGACAAAUUAUCAGCAUUAUUUACACGAACGUCACUUGGUUUUUACACUCCACGGAAGCUAUAUUCAUUUAUUUUGAAGCAUAAUUUCACGCGAGUAACUUAUCCUUUCCAGUUCUCGUAAAAAAAAAAAAAAUGUGUUAUGUAGGUAGACGGCGGGACUGGGGAAUGGCUGGGAGAGGACGGUGGGGGGUGAGGCGGCAAGCGGGGUGGGGAGCAGUGCGGUGGCGGCGGGUGGCAGGAAGGUGAGCGGUGAGCGCGAGUCGGCGGAACACCCAGUGCUUAUGAUCUGCCGUUGGUAGGGUCGCGUAUCGGCGGGGUGAGGGUGCGUUUUAGUGUCUGUUUAUGUUGCGUGUGCGUGCGUGAGCGUCUGUCUACGUGUGUGUGUAUGUGUAGGUUCGUAGACGUGAGGGAGAGAGUGAGAAAUGUGUAAGAACGGCGAGGACUCAAGAUAACAGAGGGAGAGAGCGGCGUGGCGGAGGAGAGCGGGAGAGGAGGAGCGAAGCAGGGACGGACGCCAAGCUGUCUGCCCGCUACUUUGAAAUUUACCUCCACCUCCGCCUGCUCUUUCCUCUCUUUCCCUGUACUUUCUCGAUCCCUGGCUUCUCCUCCGUGCUCUCCCUGUUCUCUACUGGACCAUGAUGAGUGUGAGGCAAGGACAAUACUAACUUGAAGGACAGGACCGCACAGGGCAUUGGACGUGGAAAAUGCCGUCUUGAAGCACUCCAGUGAAUGAAAAGGAGGACUGACUGAGGACAAAGGGAUACAAACGGGCGGAGGACAACUCGGUAAGUG